rnacentral:snRNA from 1 species
CAAGUCUCUUGCAAUUGUUGCUUAGAUCAAGUGUAGUAUCUGUUCUUCAUAGUUUAAUCGCUGUGACCGGUCUACGGGCCGUCUCUUCAAUGAUUAUUCUUCUUUUUGGAACACAGGCUGGAAAGACCUCUGAGCUUGCUUAUGUCUUUCUGCCACAGUGUCGCUCGUAUUGCACUACUUCGAGCUGACGCGAAUGCGC